UGUGAGCUCGAUGAGUAGGGCGGGACACGUGGUAUCCUGUCUGAAUAUGGGGGGACCAUCCUCCAAGGCUAAAUACUCCUGACUGACCGAUAGUGAACCAGUACCGUGAGGGAAAGGCGAAAAGAACCCCGGCGAGGGGAGUGAAAAAGAACCUGAAACCGUGUACGUACAAGCAGUGGGAGCCUCUUAAUGGGGUGACUGCGUACCUUUUGUAUAAUGGGUCAGCGACUUAUAUUCUGUAGCAAGGUUAACCGAAUAGGGGAGCCGAAGGGAAACCGAGUCUUAACUGGGCGUUAAGUUGCAGGGUAUAGACCCGAAACCCGGUGAUCUAGCCAUGGGCAGGUUGAAGGUUGGGUAACACUAACUGGAGGACCGAACCGACUAAUGUUGAAAAAUUAGCGGAUGACUUGUGGCUGGGGGUGAAAGGCCAAUCAAACCGGGAGAUAGCUGGUUCUCCCCGAAAGCUAUUUAGGUAGCGCCUCGUGAAUUCAUCUCCGGGGGUAGAGCACUGUUUCGGCAAGGGGGUCAUCCCGACUUACCAACCCGAUGCAAACUGCGAAUACCGGAGAAUGUUAUCACGGGAGACACACGGCGGGUGCUAACGUCCGUCGUGAAGAGGGAAACAACCCAGACCGCCAGCUAAGGUCCCAAAGUCAUGGUUAAGUGGGAAACGAUGUGGGAAGGCCCAGACAGCCAGGAUGUUGGCUUAGAAGCAGCCAUCAUUUAAAGAAAGCGUAAUAGCUCACUGGUCGAGUCGGCCUGCGCGGAAGAUGUAACGGGGCUAAACCAUGCACCGAAGCUGCGGCAGCGACACUAUGUGUUGUUGGGUAGGGGAGCGUUCUGUAAGCCUGCGAAGGUGUGCUGUGAGGCAUGCUGGAGGUAUCAGAAGUGCGAAUGCUGACAUAAGUAACGAUAAAGCGGGUGAAAAGCCCGCUCGCCGGAAGACCAAGGGUUCCUGUCCAACGUUAAUCGGGGCAGGGUGAGUCGACCCCUAAGGCGAGGCCGAAAGGCGUAGUCGAUGGGAAACAGGUUAAUAUUCCUGUACUUGGUGUUACUGCGAAGGGGGGACGGAGAAGGCUAUGUUGGCCGGGCGACGGUUGUCCCGGUUUAAGCGUGUAGGCUGGUUUUCCAGGCAAAUCCGGAAAACCAAGGCUGAGGCGUGAUGACGAGGCACUACGGUGCUGAAGCGACAAAUGCCCUGCUUCCAGGAAAAGCCUCUAAGCAUCAGGUAACAUCAAAUCGUACCCCAAACCGACACAGGUGGUCAGGUAGAGAAUACCAAGGCGCUUGAGAGAACUCGGGUGAAGGAACUAGGCAAAAUGGUGCCGUAACUUCGGGAGAAGGCACGCUGAUAUGUAGGUGAAGCGACUUGCUCGUGGAGCUGAAAUCAGUCGAAGAUACCAGCUGGCUGCAACUGUUUAUUAAAAACACAGCACUGUGCAAACACGAAAGUGGACGUAUACGGUGUGACGCCUGCCCGGUGCCGGAAGGUUAAUUGAUGGGGUUAGCGGUAACGCGAAGCUCUUGAUCGAAGCCCCGGUAAACGGCGGCCGUAACUAUAACGGUCCUAAGGUAGCGAAAUUCCUUGUCGGGUAAGUUCCGACCUGCACGAAUGGCGUAAUGAUGGCCAGGCUGUCUCCACCCGAGACUCAGUGAAAUUGAACUCGCUGUGAAGAUGCAGUGUACCCGC
rnacentral:rRNA from 1 species